rnacentral:rRNA from 1 species
CAUGGGGGUGCUUACCAUGCAAGUCGAACGGUCCAAAGCUUAACACCGAGAACAUACUGCUUAAAGGCAGAGCGGUGGCGAAGUGAAACGAGCCAUCACGCAUACAUAAAGUGAUUAUCAAGCAAAAUGUUUUGGGUGUUGAGCUUUGGAUAGUGGCGAACGGGUGAGUAACGCGUAGGCAAUCUGCCUUCUAGAUGGGGACAACAUCCCGAAAGGGGUGCUAAUACCGAAUGUUGUAAUUGGUUCGCAUGGACUAGCUACUAAAGGUGGCCUCUGAAUAUGCUACCGCUAGAAGAUGAGCCUGCGUCUGAUUAGCUAGUUGGAGGGGUAACGGCCCACCAAGGCUUCGAUCAGUAGCCGGUCUGAGAGGAUGAACGGCCACACUGGGACUGAGACACGGCCCAGACUCCUACGGGAGGCAGCAGUGGGGAAUCUUCCGCAAUGGACGAAAGUCUGACGGAGCAACGCCGCGUGAGUGAAGAAGGUUUUCGGAUCGUAAAGCUCUUUCGUUAGGGACGAACGUGCUCUUUGUGAAUAAUGAGGAGUAAUGACGGUACCUAAAUAAGAAGCCACGGCUAACUACGUGCCAGCAGCCGCGGUAAUACGUAGGUGGCAAGCGUUGUCCGGAAUUAUUGGGCGUAAAGCGCGCGCAGGCGGGAUAUCAAGUCUGUCUUAAAAGUGCGAGGCUCAACCUCGUGAGGGGACGGAAACUGGUAUUCUUGAGUGUCGGAGAGGAAAGUGGAAUUCCAAGUGUAGCGGUGAAUGCGUAGAGAUUUGGAAGACACCAGUGGCGAAGCGACUUUCUGGACGAUGUCUGACG